rnacentral:lncRNA from 1 species
GACGCGUUUAUUUAGAUUUCAAAUAUUUAUUUCAAAUACUUUUACAGCUCAAAUCAAAUAUGAAUUUGGGUUUAUUUGUUACAAAUGCCCAUGCUCAUGCUUAGUUACAACCACAUGACUUGUAGUAAAUAAUCUUCUCUUUCUUUUCCUUUGGUAUAUUUGACCCACAUGACAAUCAUACUAUAUAGUACAUGAGAAUCUGAGGAAAUUAUUCGCACAUCUUGAAGAGACGCAUAAGUAACAAAGAACCAGAGACGACUCUGAUUCAUGUACAACACAACUUUCUCUCAAACGGGUAAAUCUCUGAGUAACCUUAAAGCUUUCUCCCACUGUGGUCUUUGAGACAUAACGAUCCGUCUCAACACCGGCACAGCUCCUGCUCUCAUAAUGGCCGUGUGAUUCUCACUGUCCAUGCUCAAGUUAUACAACACUGACAAACUCGCCUCCACACACCGCUCGUUCCUCUCUUCUAGAAGCUUCACCAGCGGCUCUA